UAGGGAAUAUUAGAAAUGGACGAAAGUCUGAUCUAGCAACACCGCGUGUGCGAAGAAGGCCUUCGGGUCGUAAAGCACUUUUUAGAAGGAAUAGGAAGGAAUGUACUUCCAGAAUAAGUCUCGGCUAACUACGUGCCAGCAGCCGCGGUAACACGUAGGAGGCAAGCGUUAUCCGGAUUUACUGGGCGUAAAGCGCGUGUAGGUGGUACUGUAAGUAGGGCGUGAAAGCUCCUGGCUCAACUGGGAGAGGCCGUUCUAAACUACAGAACUAGAGGAUGGCAGAGGGAGGUGGAAUUCCAGGUGUAGCGGUGGAAUGCGCAGAUAUCUGGAGGAACACCGGUGGCGAAGGCGGCCUCCUGGACCAUUCCUGACACUCAGACGCGAAAGCUAGGGUAGCAAACGG
rnacentral:rRNA from 1 species